rnacentral:rRNA from 1 species
AGCAGCCGCGGUAAUUCCAGCUCCAAUAGCGUAUAUUAAAGUUGUUGCAGUUAAAAAGCUCGUAGUUGAAUUUCGGGAUCAAAUUGUUGGUCGUGCCUCGGUACGCACUGGUAUUAUUGGUUCCUACCUUCUGAAGAACCGCGAUGUCAUUAAUUUGGUGUCGUGGGGAAUCAGGACUGUUACUUUGAAAAAAUUAGAGUGUUUAAAGCAGGCUUACGCUUGAAUACAUUAGCAUGGAAUAAUGAAAUAGGACGUUUGAUUCUAUUUUGUUGGUUUCUAGGAUUGACGUAAUGAUUAAUAGGGAUAGUUGGGGGCAUUAGUAUUCAAUUGUCAGAGGUGAAAUUCUUGGAUUUAUUGAAGACUAACUACUGCGAAAGCAUUUGCCAAGGAUGUUUUCAUUAAUCAAGAACGAAAGUUAGGGGAUCGAAGACGAUCAGAUACCGUCGUAGUCUUAACCAUAAACUAUGCCGACUAGGGAUC